AUUCUUAUAGUGUAUCCGCACAUUAGGUUUUCAGUCUAAAAGAAUAAAUAAUUAUUAAGAAU
rnacentral:tRNA from 1 species